rnacentral:rRNA from 1 species
AUUGAACGCUGGCGGCAGGCCUAACACAUGCAAGUCGAGCGGAGCGGCGGACGGGUGAGUAAUGCCUGGGAAUCUGCCUGGUAGUGGGGGAUAACGUCCGGAAACGGGCGCUAAUACCGCAUACUAUCAGAUGAGCCUAGGUCGGAUUAGCUAGUUGGUGGGGUAAAGGCCUACCAAGGCGACGAUCCGUAACUGGUCUGAGAGGAUGAUCAUUCACCCUGUAAUGGAGAAACGUUCCAGACUCCUACGGGAGGCAGAUGGGGGAAAUAUGGGAAAAUGGGCGAAAGCCUGCUCCAGCCAUGCCGGGUGUGUGAAGAGGGUCUACGGAUUGUAAAUCCCUUUAAGUUGGGAGGCGUUACCAACAGAAUAAGCACCGGCUAACUUCGUGCCAGCAGCCGCGGUAAUUC